rnacentral:lncRNA from 1 species
GGAGAACCCUUGCACGGGUGCUAGCUCUCCCAAAGGGGAGAGUUCCACAUGAGGGAGGGGACCUAGCGAGCUUGCUGCCAUCGGAAACUGUUGUAACCAACAGUUAUCAGAAAUCGUCCAGUCCCAGAAAUCCCAACUCUUCCUAUAAAAGUCUCUCUACAGGUGACAGGUUGGCAUGGGGCAGGGGAGGGGACGGUGGGACCAGAAGAGCCCGGGGCUUACUUGGCUUGGGGACAAAGAUAAUCUGUCUUUUGUUAGGGUUAUACUGAGGCAGGUCAGAGGCUGAGGGUCUGUUAGUGCAUUUAGUGCUGGUGAACAGGGUGGCCCAGCCUGGGCUACUGAAGUUCUCUGAUGACAAGGCAGAGCUCCCCAAACCCCAUCACCUUCUGCUGAAUAAGGGAGGUGGGGAGGAUGUCCCCACCCCUGGCUCUUGGCCAGUUCCAUCUGUGCCAGUGUAGGCCAGUUCCUCAGGAGUGCUGGAGAGUUUGAGUCCAGUAAGCUUAGGGGGUGACCCUGUGCUAAGACCCAGCCAUGGCUCAGGCCACAGCAUAGCUGGCUUAGGAGUAGCCCCCAGCCAUCUGACUCGUGGCCGCGUUGCUACCCACUCCUCGCCAGGCCUGGAAGCUGAAGAAAGCGCUCACUCCGUAGGCAAUCAUCACCAGACAAGCAAAGAACUGGCAGGGGAGAAAAAGAGGCCAAGGGGGUCAGUCAGAGAGAGCCAGGAAACCACAUGGGGACAGUGACACCAGACCAAGUGGGUCUCCUCAGAGGGACUUGGGGAUGGAAGCUUGAGCAGCAGCCCCUUGGGUUAAUCAGAGCCACUUGUUCUGGCAGCCACACCCCUUAUGCCCACCCACCCAUACCACACAUCUGGCAUUAUGUUCUAAGGGUCAGGGGCAAGAACUACACAGGCCAGACAUGUCAGAUGGUGCCAGGCACAGCACUCUGGAGUGACAGUGGGGUAACUUUAUAUACAUAAGGGACCUAGUGUCCACAAGUAACAUUCAGGGCUAGGGAUGUGGCUCAGGUAAAGCUGUUGCCCAGCCUCCCAAGGACCUGUGGUUCCAGGCCCAGAACUGAAAACAAAAACAACCAGUAAUAAUACUCCAGGCUCCCAGGAGUUUUCUGAAUCAGUUUUGUACCCUGUAUGUGGCGUGUGCUUUCAGAGGCUUGAGUCUCCGUUCCCAAGAUGGAGUUCACUAAUUUUAAACCACUCUCACCAGGAAGAUGGAAGACACCACGCAUUGGCUGUCCUGUCCUGGACAUGACCACAACUCCAGUUUCCUUCUCUAAAAAAGAACCCAUAGUCUCUGCCUUUAGACGUGAACUGGGUAGUGUGAAUGGCCGUCUGACACAGUCCAAGUUUGGAAUUUUUAUAAGAGAAUACUAGUAAAAAAAGAAAUGUAGACGGAAUGUCUAGUGAUGACAGCCAGCCUGAGGUGACAAUGUGACAGUGUCCACAGUGGAUCCCAUGCAUUCAGGUCCCCUUGAGUUCUGCUGUUCACUAAGGAAGGAGGCCCACUGAGCAUCCAGCCAGUGACAACUCAGACAGGAGCCUGUGAGUUCACAAAGGCCUGGGCUGGAUACCCUGCAGAAGGCUGGAGCCUGGGACAUACUUACAGAGGCAGCUGAGCGCUGGUUAUAUGGCCGGGAGCCCCUCAGGGAUGUCAGAUCGACCGCCGCUGCACAGGCGAUAAAGGCAGUAAUGUAGAGAACCGUGGCAGCGACAAAAAAGAUCAGUAACUGUAGGGGGAAGGGCGAGAGGCAUAAGCAUCCACAAAGAACAUCACCACCUUGAAGCCCUGACGGGAAGGCCUGAAGUGUUGGGACGGUGCCACCACAACGAGCCACUUGCCUCUAACCAGCUAAAGAAAUGCCAUCUCUUGUGUGGCACACGCCAUGCCCAUGUUCUUCCUAUGACCACAUCAGCACUUGGCCAUGUGCCUGGCCCUCACAUCCCUCUGCCCACCAGUGGGAGAAAUCUAUGACUCCCUUAUACUAUCCUAAACUCAAGGGCAAAUAACAGGGCCAGGGUCCUAGGGAAUCUCUACAAAGCACCAAGAAGACUGGAUGUGAGCCUUCAGCUGGCAGCGGGGCCUGUUCCAUACCCCCAGUGGAUGCCUCUUGUCCUCAAACCGGUCUCCAGCCAUUUAUUGUGCUAUACAUUUUUAAUUGCCAACAUUUAAAAUUAGAUUUCAUGUGAAAACUUGAAAAUUUCAUAUUAAACAUGUUCAAGAUUUCUGGACAUAGUGGUACACACCUGUAAUCCCAGCAUCUCAAGAGGCAGAGGCCAACUUGGUGCAUAUAGUGAGAUGCUAUAUCAAAAUAUCAAUUAAGAUAAGUAGUUGUAGCUCACACCUUUGAUCGCAGCACACAGGAGGUAGAGGCAGGCCGAUCUCUGAGUUUAAGGCCAGCCUAGACUAGUGAGUUCCAGGUCAGCCAGGGCUACUGAGAAAACCUAGCUCAAAAUAAAACAAAACAAAACACCCUCAAAGCUGGGCAGAGUAGCUUACAGGAGCCAGCAUGUCAGACACAAAGACAGGAAGACCAUGGAUUCCAGGUCAGUCGGGCCUACACAUCAAAACUGUAUCAAAAAAACAAAGCAAACAGCUACCUCAGGGCUGGGCAUGUAUCUCAGUGUAAAGCUCUGCAUUCAUGAGGUCCUGGAUUUGAUCCCUAGCGCCAUCAGUACAACAAACAAAAUACCUCAAGGCUUGGCACCAGUGGGCCACAUCCUCUCAAGGUUGAAGCCGGGCAGAGGCAGCUUCUCAGGGCCAGGUACUUGUUAGGUUUCUAGAACCUUCCUGGCCCAGUUCACUAGUCCAUCUUACCUGACCCUUUAUAUUAAACAUGUCCCCAGAGUUGAGAAGGGUCAUCACCCAGUUCCUCUCCCAGCUCAGCCCAGCAGCACCAGACACAGCCCCCAGCUGACCUCCUUCACUGGCGCUGUGCUGUGCUGCCAGCCUUGCCUCAGAGACAGAGGUCUCCAGCCUUGUGGAAUUCUUCUUUAGGGGCUUGGGAUAUUCAGAAGGGGGCUAGACCUUUAGCCAGGAGUCCAGCCACCGCCACCUCAAUCCCAAAUCUUGUCCCCAAGUACAGUGACCACUGCACACCCUGCCCGGCUCUGGCUAGCGAGACCAGGAUCUAACAAACCCAUUCUGUCUCGGCAUGACUCACGUUUCCUCUCGCUAAACAAGCAUUGAAUUGUAAACAAUCGCUGCCUAGUUCCAGCCUCGCCUGCCUUACAAUCAUGCGCCUCUGUGCUCACUAAAAGGCUCAGACCCAGCUGCAUGGGUUUUCUGGGUUCCAGAAAAAAAAAAAAAAAAACCCAGCCAGAGGAGCCUGGCCUGAGACAAACCUGGGGCACCCAUUCUCUCCAGAGAGCCAGGGCCUGGAGAGAAUGGAGGCAGCUGGCACUGACAAACCCAGACCUCCGAGCUCAAAAUUCUGAUCCCCCUCAAGAAAGAACAAUAUCCCAAGAUUCCCAAGGAUAUCUGCAGAGUCAGUCAAUAGCCUCUCGAUGCUGGUCUCUUCCAAGCACCAAGUCAAACACUCCACUUCCGUCAUUAACAUACCUUCCCACCCCAGCUCCUCAUGUAGCUAAGAGGCAGGAGGAUGGCAUCACACCCACCCACCUGCCCUCCAUUUCACAUUUAUGGAAGGUCAAGAGGUCCCGUCCUAGCCAUUCACAGACGAGAGGACUCAGCCUGGAGCCGCACAGUCCCUGCCCCAAACUCACCACCAACGGCCAGGGCACCAUGUACAACUUCAUGUGCAGUUGAAACAGGUAGAUGAUGAAGAAGACGAUUGUCACCAGCCAGAGGAAGACAGCGACAAACAUGACCCAGCCAUAGGCAGGAUACAGAUGGUAUGGGGUGUCAGCAAUCAGGGCCCACACCAGCAGCCCCAGUGCCUGUGGAAAAAUAAGGGGGAGUUUCUCAGAGCUGAACAGCUCCAGCCGGAGGCUCGGGCCUUGGCCCCCUUUCUUGUUAACUCAAAAAGUUUAGGCUGGCAAGAUGGCUAAGAGGGUAAAAUGUUUGUCACAAGCCUGACAACCGGAAUUCAAUUCUGGAACUCAGGUGUAAGGAGAAAAGUGACGACCAGCGGUUGUCCUCCAGCCUUUCUGUGUUCACUGUGGCAUGGAACAUGGUCACACGCACGUACAAUUAAAAACAGCUUCUUCAAAGAAAUCUUGACUCCUGUUGUUUACAUCUGUGCUGGGCAUCUUGUCUGGCCACUCUUCCCCCUUUCAAUUCCCAUCAUGCUGUGUGACAAAAGGCUCUUCCCCGGUGUGACGGUUUGUAUAUGCUGGGCCCAAGGAGUGACAGGAUUAGAAGGUAUGGCCCUGCUGGGUAGGGUGUCAUUGUGGGUGUAGGUUAUAAGUCUCACAUUCUAGCUGCCUUGAAGUCAGUCAUCUGCUAGCAGCCUUCAGAUGAAGAUGAACUCUCCGCUCCUCCUGCACCAUGCCUGACUGGAUUCGCCUCCGUUCUUGCCUUGACGAUACUGGACUGAACCUUUGAACCUGUAUGUCAGCCCCAAUUAAAUGUUGUCCUUUAUAAG